CAAAUCCCUCCUUGGCUACCCUGACUAGCAUGCCCAAUCAGAGCUUACCAGCUCAUCCUCGCUUACUCUAACACAGACUUCCCCUUUUCCCUUUGAAAUCACUCCUACAAAGCUAUUUGCUGCUAUGUCUGCCUGAUUCAGACACAGCCACCUUACCUCUUCACCUUGCUUAGUAAACAGUCUCGUGUUUAGGUACGAUCUGUGCCUAAUCCCGGGUCUAGAGGGGAACAACCCAUGAUGUGUGGGUCCCUCCAAAAAUUGAUAUACAACAUAAACACCCAAACUUAUGGGACACAAUGAAAGUGGUUCUUUAAAACAAAAAAAGAUUUAUUUAUUUUAUGUAUAUGAGUGCUCUAUGUACACUUGCCUGCCAGAAGAGGGCAUCAGAUCCCAUGACAGAUGGUUGUGAGCCACCAUGUGGUUGCUGGGAAUUGAACUCACAAGCUCUGAAAGAGCAGUCAGUGCUCUUAACCACUGAGCCAUUUCUCCAGGAAAAUGGUUCUAAGAGGCAAGUUCACAACACUGUCUACAUAAACAAAACAAAAACCAAACCAAAC
rnacentral:lncRNA from 1 species